CAGUAGCCGCGGUAAGACAGAGGAUGCAAGCGUUAUCCGGAAUGAUUGGGCGUAAAGCGUCUGUAGGUGGCUUUUCAAGUCCGCCGUCAAAUCCCAGGGCUCAACCCUGGACAGGCGGUGGAAACUACCAAGCUGGAGUACGGUAGGGGCAGAGGGAAUUUCCGGUGGAGCGGUGAAAUGCGUAGAGAUCGGAAGGAACACCAACGGCGAAAGCACUCUGCUGGGCCGACACUGACACUGAGAGACGAAAGCUAGGGGAGCAAAUGGGAUUAGAGACCCGCGUAGUCCCUGUCUCUUAUAC
rnacentral:rRNA from 1 species